rnacentral:rRNA from 1 species
CCUACGGGAGGCAGCAGUAGGGAAUCUUCCACAAUGGGCGAAAGCCUGAUGCAGCAACGCCGCGUGGGUGAAGAAGGUCUUCGGAUCGUAAAACCCUGUUGUUAGAGAAGAAAGUGCGUGAGAGUAACUGUUCACGUUUCGACGGUAUCUAACCAGAAAGCCACGGCUAACUACGUGCCAGCAGCCGCGGGAAUACGUAGGUGGCAAGCGUUAUCCGGAUUUAUUGGGCGUAAAGGGAACGCAGGCGGUCUUUUAAGUCUGAUGUGAAAGCCUUCGGCUUAACCGGAGUAGUGCAUUGGAAACUGGGAGACUUGAGUGCAGAAGAGGAGAGUGGAACUCCAUGUGUAGCGGUGAAAUGCGUAGAUAUAUGGAAGAACACCAGUGGCGAAAGCGGCUCUCUGGUCUGUAACUGACGCUGAGGUUCGAAAGCGUGGGUAGCAAACAGGAUUAGAUACCCGUGUAGUC